ACUCCUACGGGAGGCAGCAGUGGGAAUAUUGCACAAUGGGAAGCCAUCGAUGCAGCCAUGCCGCGCUGUGUGAAGAAGGCCAAUUCGGGCUUUGGUUAAAGACACUUUUCAGUAGGGAGGAAGGUAGUGUAGUUUAACACCUGCAUUAUUUUGACGUUACCUACAGAAGAAGCACCGGCUAACUCCGUGCCAGCAGCCGCGGUAAUACGGAGGGUGCGAGCGUUAAUCGGAAUUACUGGGCGUAAAGCGCAUGCAGGCGGCCUGUUAAGUCAGAUGUG
rnacentral:rRNA from 1 species